rnacentral:rRNA from 1 species
UACGUAGGGUCCGAGCGUUUGUCCGGAAUUACUGGGCGUAAAGAGCUCGUAGGUGGUUUGUCGCGUUGUUCGUGAAAACUCACAGCUUAACUGUGGGCGUGCGGGCGAUACGGGCAGACUUGAGUACUGCAGGGGAGACUGGAAUUCCUGGUGUAGCGGUGGAAUGCGCAGAGUAUCAGGAGGAACACCGGUGGCGAAGGCGGGUCUCUGGGCAAUUCCUGACGCUGAGGCGCGAAAGCGUGGGGAGCAAACGGG